UGCGUAGGUGGUGAGGUAAGUCGGAUGUGAAAUCUCCAGGCUCAACCUGGAAAUGGCAUCGGAAACUACCUUGCUCGAGGUUUGGAGGGGGGACUGGAAUACUUGGUGUAGCAGUGAAAUGCGUAGAUAUCAAGUGGAACACCAGUGGCGAAGGCGAGUCCCUGGACAAAACCUGACACUGAGGCACGAAAGCUAGGGGAGCAAACA
rnacentral:rRNA from 1 species